AAACUAGGGUGAGGUUGCUGAUAAUAUAAGUAAAGCGCCAGCUUGAAAGGAUUAUUGGCCGAAGUGCACUAAACUGCACUGGGGAUAGGUUGAAGAAGUCUAUCACUCUGAUGGGUUGUUGCCCAAACAACUUAUCAAGGAGCUCCUAGCUUG
rnacentral:ncRNA from 2 species